UUGGAGGGCAAGUCUGGUGCCAGCAGCCGCGGUAAUUCCAACUCCAAUAGCGUAUAUUAAAGUUGUUGCAGUUAAAAAGCUCGUAGUUGAAUUUCGGGAUCAAAUUGUUGGUCGUGCUUCGGUACGCACUGGCAUUAUUGGUUCCUACCUUCUGAAGAACCGCGAUGUCAUUAAUUUGGUGUCGUGGGGAAUCAGGACUGUUACUUUGAAAAAAUUAGAGUGUUUAAAGCAGGCUUACGCGUGAAUACAUUAGCAUGGAAUAAUGAAAUAGGACGUUUGAUUCUAUUUUGUUGGUUUCUAGGAUCGACGUAAUGAUUAAUAGGGAUAGUUGGGGGCAUUAGUAUUCAAUUGUCAGAGGUGAAAUUCUUGGAUUUAUUGAAGACUAACUACUGCGAAAGCAUUUGCCAAGGAUGUUUUCAUUAAUCAAGAACGAAAGUUAGGGGAUCGAAGACGAUCAGAUACCGUCGUAGUCUUAACCAUAAACUAUGCCGACUAGGGAUCGGAUGAUGUUAAUUUUUUAAUGACUCAUUCGGCGCCUUACGGGAAAC
rnacentral:rRNA from 1 species